rnacentral:snRNA from 1 species
GAGUGAAAGUCUGUCUUCUCACUGAUCACUGGAGUGGACUUGGCUGAUCUGGCUGGCCAGGUGAAUUUUUCAGCUGUCCUCACACCACCUUUCUGCAAGCCUCACAAAGCUGCACACUAAGACAAGGAGUACCAUAAUCUGUGUCAGGCAGAGUAGCAUCUCCUAGAUACUCCAAACAAGAUUAAAGUCCAUUUGUAGAACACAGAGCAGCCAACCCUCUAAGUCCUGAGACACAUCCAAAUGAAGGUCUGUGUACCGCAAUUU